GAUGAACGCUGGCGGCGCGCCUAAUACAUGCAAGUCGAGCGAACAGACGAGGAGCUUGCUCCUCUGACGUUAGCGGCGGACGGGUGAGUAACACGUGGAUAACCUACCUAUAAGACUGGGAUAACUUCGGGAAACCGGAGCUAAUACCGGAUAAUAUAUUGAACCGCAUGGUUCAAUAGUGAAAGACGGUUUUGCUGUCACUUAUAGAUGGAUCCGCGCCGCAUUAGCUAGUUGGUAAGGUAACGGCUUACCAAGGCAACGAUGCGUAGCCGACCUGAGAGGGUGAUCGGCCACACUGGACCUGAGACACGGUCCAAACUCCUACGGGAGGCAGCAGGAGGGAAUUUUCCGCAAUGGGCGAAAGCUUGACGGAGCAACGCCGCGGGAGUGAUGAAGGUCUUCGGAUCGUAAAACUCUGUUAUUAGGGAAGAAAAAAUGUGUAAGUAACUAUCCACGUUUUGACGGUACCUAAUCAGAAAGCCACGGCUAACUACGU
rnacentral:rRNA from 1 species